rnacentral:lncRNA from 1 species
UUGGCAGGGUACGAAGUGCAAUGGAAGUCAUCACCUCAAGUUGAGCUAUUUGGUGUGGCUGCAACAAGGUACCCUGGGGUACCUGUUGUUGUUGAGGCCAUUGACCCAGUUGUUGUUGUUGAGGUUGUUGGAAAGAACACUGUCCGAGCUGCUUCUGUUGUUGUUGGGGUUGGGAGACACCUUGGACCGACUGUUGGGGUUGUUGCUGCUGAGGUUGGUUCAAACCCUGACCAUGUUGUUGUUCUUGUAGGACGAUCGAGUAGAUGAUGGCACGGAUUGCAUCGUAGCGUGAUUGUUCGGGGAUUUGCGGCAGCUGCCGGCAACAUUGUUGCUGCAUCACAUGGCAACUACUCUGCCACAACAUUUGCGACCUAGCAAGACUUUGUGGCAUUGCCACAGGGCUGCAUUGCUGCUGGAGGAAUACCUUGCAUGGGUUUAGCUGCUGCAAGAUAGAUGGCUGAACAGAUGGUAUUUGUUGUUGCGGUAGAACUGGUUGUUGGUGUUGUGAAAAUGGUGGUUGUUGCAGUAGAAUUGGUUGUUGUUGUUGCUGCGAAAAUGGUGGUUGUUGCUGCUGCUGAGAAAAUGGUGGUUGUUGCUGCGAAAAUGGUGGUUGUUGCGGUAAAAGUGGUUGUUGUUGCUGCGGAAAUUGUUGUUGUUGCUGCGAAAAUGGUGGUUGUUGCGGUAGAAUGGGUUGUUGUUGCUGCGAAAAUGGUGGUUGUUGUUGUGAAAAUGGUGGUUGUUGUUGCUGCGAUAAUGGUGGUUGUUGUUGCUGUGAACAUGGUGGCUGUUGUGGAAAUGGUUGUGGUUGUUGUUGGAUGGGUUGUUGUUGUUGGUACCAUAAUAUUUGUUGUAGUGGUAAUGGUUGUUGUUGCAAUGGUUUCUCCAAGCUAGGGAUGUGGCUAGUCUCCAUUUGUGCAAUGGCACUUGUCGCCGCAACGGCGAGGAGGGCAAAGAUGAGGAAGGUCUUCAUGGUGGAUUGGUGUUAAAUAGUGUUGCUUGGUUUUGAUGCUUGUGCUUGUGAUGAUCAUUAUACUUCAUGCCUAUUUAUAGUAGCCCGUGCACCAUCUCUUUCCUUCUUUGCAUCAGCUUUAAUAAUUGUGUUUGGAUGUUUCUGAAAUGGAUUUUUGGUACAUUAUGGUAGGUUGCACUAGCUAUAAGCGUACUUUUGGAUUGAUCAUCAAAGUUGCUUUUUGGUUGUGCAUAUGAUUAUACACAAAGUACAUGAUGUUUGAAGUAGAUGACUUGCCUUAUUCACUUUACAUGUCACGCAUUUAUCAGGAUAGUAUCACUUCUACACCCGAUUUGGGAAAAAGUACAUAAUCUUUGCUAUAGAUAACUUGCCUUAUUCGCUUUACAUGUCAUGCACUUAUCAGGAUAUUAUCACUUUUACACCCGAUUUUGGAACCUUGUAUAGGGUGUCAGCCUUAAACAAGAAAAGGAAAAACUUGUGUAGGACUAAGUUGCAAUCAUGUGUGGGUUGUUAGGAUAUGCUCCAUUAUUAAAGCCUUACAUGUGGAGGGUUCUUCUAGACUCGAUUGUUUUUUAUAGAACUAACUAUGUAUUGUCCUUUAAGAUGAUAAGAUAAACUGACACCUAUAGAGCAUGACAUGACUCAUCGAAUUCCCUUUACAUGUAAAGGAUUGUAAUUGCUUACAAGUCACUAACAUAUAUCCGGUCCUAACUCUAGACACAUCAUCAUUAGUUUGAUCUUUGUGUUAAGGAUUUUUAUUUGAUCAGAUCAUUCUUUUGGCGGACUAAGUUUGCAAUAUUGUGUAAAUAUUUCACGGGGUGCACCUGGUCUCUUUUACUAAAUCUUUGGGGCAGGAGGUUGAUAUUUAUUUGAAUUGUGUAGAACAUUUACAUAGGUAACCUACUAGAAUUAUUAUAUGUUCAUUAUACUAUGACGACAAACAUAUAUAGUUUGGUUUACUGUGGUUCAUGUUUAGGUGUAUAAGAAUGAAUUUAUGUAUAUCGAGGUACUUUAUCAACCCAAAAUGAAAAAUGCCAAACAUUUUAACAUUUUUCAUCAACAAACCUUUAGAACCCCUAUUCGCGGCUAUCCUCCUAGAUCAUGGACAACCAGCAUAUUUCAUUUGUAGGAUUUUGACAAGGUCUUGAUUCUCUCCCACAUAAAAUGUUCUAGAUUGUUUCAUGGCAACUUGUUUGUGCCCGGAUAUUUUCAAUCUUCUUAUCUAGGCCAUACAUAUGUUUUUCUGUCAUUAAUCUAUUAACUGCUGAAUGAAGAGGUCCCAAAUGAUAAAGAAAAACUAUGUUAGGAGUAUGGGCAUCUCCACCACUUGUUUCAAUAAAACCAGAGGAUUUUAUGAUUAUGAAUUUGGUUCGAAAUAUGUUAAUGAUAUGUGCACUCGAUCUGAGCCAAUAUCCGAUGAAUUGAAAAGUGUUAAAUGGCCCAUGGAUAAAUUUAUAUUUGUUCACAAGUAUCAGAAAUCUGGAAUGGUGACACUACAUAUUCAAUUCAAAUUUGAAAAUACAUCUGAUCCCAGCUACGGAGGUCGCCAUGUGCCUCAAAGGAGUCUCCAUCGCAACUCUGGUCGUCUGCAAUUACACUAGAUGGCAGGCUAGUCUGUCAUCCAUCGUGGGAAUCCGCCGACAGGGCAGGUCAGAGGUCCUGUGGUUGCAACUAGCAGGUUAUUCAUCCAAUCUAUGUCCGUCAGUUAGUGCUCGAUCCUGCAGUAAAUGGUACUUGUAUGGAUAUAUAGUUGCAGAGAGGAAUUUCUUUGACUAGUGUUCGAUCUGAUUGCUAGCUGGAUUGGUGGAGAAAUUGCUACUUCCUCGUGCUAGGGCAGCAGUGGACAAUUAGUACAGACAGACCUGGCAAAAAAAUCCAAUGCGUAUAUUAAGUGGAGAUAGUACUAGAUCUGAUGUCUGCAGGAGAUACUAGUAGAUGUUAUACUGCACACUGGCACAGUAUGAGGUCAUUAUGUUGUUCUGUACAAAGUCUGUCACUUAGAUGUACAUAUAUGAGUGACAACCGCAUAUAUAUUUCUUGCAAAAUCCAUGCUUCCUUGCAGGUGGAAGGCCCUCAUGGUGCCCCCGAGACAGAGCCUGUUCCCUAUUUGGUACGGUGAGUAUUGAAUCGAAACGCAAAAUAUGCACUUAUUGAUUUGUCGAUCUCACAUUAUAUGCAUCUGAUAGGAGAGGUUAUCGUCAGAGGUUGUGGAACAAUCUGAAGGACACUUGUGGUUAAGCAGCAGCAUCAGGUGAGGUGUUCAUGUCAGUCAGUUGGUGGUCAGACUGGCACUUGUUUAAUUUGGAUGGUACAAUUUUCUAUUCACAUUGGUAAAUGCCAAUGGACAAUGACCAGCUUGGAUUCGCAUGUUGAAUUUGGAUGAUACAGGUGAGGAAGAAACUAAAAAAACACUAGUUAUGUGGUCACCUGGAACUCCAGAGUGUUUCUUGGUGCCAUAUAGUCUUGCUUUGCUGCAGUUAUAGACUUUAUAAAUGCCCUGAGCUAUUUUGGCAGCAUCGGUGUCGUUUCAUUGUUGUUUUAGCAGGGGCUUUUGAUAAAAAGAGAAGUGAAAAGAAAAAUAUUACGCACGCCUAGGUUAUGUCAUGAUUGUUAUCGGCUUUGUCGAACUUUGACCUCUGUCUUCUUCAGAUAACUGUAAUGUGAAUUAAUAAUCUCCUUCCACAUUUCCUAGGAUUAUAGAAGUUGGUAUGUUGUCGCAGCUGUGAAGUACUUAUCUUACCAAUUAUAGUGUCGUUACUUAGUUGAGGUGACAAUGUUGGAAUUAUGUGUCCUGCAACUAUAUUCAAAUUACUUGGAAUUGUUAAUAUUCGAAUUGCCUCAUUAUGAAAUUAUACAUGUAUUUAUACAUGGAAUUGCUUUACAUGUUUAGCAUGGAAUUGUUACUUGCUGGAAUGUACUUAAGUAAUAUAUGCUUAAGGAAGCUGGUCAAUUCUCAGUAGAAUAUAAUAUUACUAUUUAUAUUGAAAAUACUACCCGGGAACGCUGAUGAUUUGAAGGAGCUAGAUAGUGUAGUUAGAUUAUAGUCCUAAUGUUGAUCUACAUAAUUAGAGGAAUUUACAUUCUAUUAUGAUGUGUUGCUCACAAGCGCGUGCUCCAGGGACAUAACGGAUAGAAUCUGUUAACAAACAAAUACGAUCGUGGUUGGUAAUUUGAUUUAGACUCUAUCCAGGAAACUAGUUGUAACGACUAGGAAUCUUAUAUGUAUAAGAGGUGGACUCUUUGAAAAGACAGUACAAGAAGGUGCCAUCUCUAGUCCAGAUAUGCGAAUUGUGAGCGGCGCCAUGGAUAAAUAGACCACAAACCCUAAAUUUCUAACAGACAAGACGUUGAAAUUUUAUCUUGUGUUCGGAUAGCAUUAUUUGAAACCGUGAGUUGUCUGUUUCUGUACUGAUGGCACCCCAAAAGUGCUGGUUACUGGGGAGGUGUAUGCGGCAUGCCGAAUCAUUCUUCCUCGGGAGGCCCUAAAGCUUCAACUUGUUGAGAAACUGUCUGCACUCUGCAGUUUGGAACCUUACGGAAGGAUGCUGUGAAUUUCAUGGAUAGUGGGCUUCCCUGAUGGCUGCUCUGCUACUGCUAGCUUACGGAAUGGCUUCUACAACUGAACUGUACUGCAGUCGCUCUUGACUGAGAAUUGUUGGGGCCCGCGGUGUAGGGUGACUGCUUGGCGUUGAGUUGAGCUGCAACGCUGAAUCAAACCCUGGACGACACAAACGAUCUGAUCUAGAUUUGGUUUGAUGCUCGUCCUUUGGGUUGGUACCCAUGACAGGCACGGGUCGCCAGCAGUUUACUAUCAUCCAUGGUUCUUUAGCCCUGUGGUGUUCUACUUAUCUGAAAAACUUCUUGUUUUUGAAAUGUCAACUGGGGUAUAUAUAUUUUUCAAAAACAGGAAGUCAUCAGUUUGUGAUCAUACAGCAGAGGUGAAGAGAGGGGCAGAGGGCCAGGCAGUUACACAUAGAUUACAAUAUACAGACAGCAGCCAGGCGGGGUGUCAGCGAGCAGGGUUGCUAGAAUGAGCUGAAUUGCCUCUUUUUUCUACCGAACCUGAAGAUUUGUGCCUAACAUUGAAAAGGUUCCAUAUGACGAUGCAAUCCAAAUUGCCUUUUCGAUCGACUACUCUCAUAUGUAGUAGGUUAUACCAAUGACAACAACAGCAGAUUUAUAUCCCACAAAAAACAUGCAGCAGCAGUGCAGCUGAAGCUAAAAUAUAUAUGUUGGUUACUGAAGCUAAGUCGUAAGCACUUUUCACGGUGAUGAUCCAGGCUUUUCCUUGUUUCCACAUAAUUACCUGAGUUCAAUGAUCUGCAUUUCUCAGGUAUCGCUUGUUUCAUACAUCGAAUGCUAUUUAUCGGCCUAUCCAUGCAAUUUGAAAAUUCACUGCUGAAUGUCGGUUGUGUUCUGCGAAUAAGUGAAUGGUGGUGGUUAUUUGAAACCUAUGCCCAAUUGUGGUGGUUACUUGCAAUAUACUCCUAGAGCUUAAAGCACACGUUUUGGGCAGUAAGUCAGAUAUAUGCAUUAUAGUUUCUUUCUUGAAAGCUAUGUGUUAUGUGACACUGAUCAGACUACUAGUUCUGGAAACAAAUACAUGUGCAGAUGCCAUGCCAGCUUAUGCAAGUUGGUUAACAUUUUUGAAAAAUGAGUGGCUGUGUGCAUCACACAUAGGCCUGGAUUUAACCUCCUUUCCCGGGGGAAAAGGCAAGUUACUUAAUAGUUACAAUCAGGUUAAGUAACUGAAGAAAUUAAGCAGUUGACCCAAAUGCAGCUUUCAGGCUGCCCCAAGCAACAUUAAACUGGGCUUGUGUAAAAUAUUAGUGCAGUUUAUGGUCAGAUGGCCUUGUCGAGAUCGAUGAUGGAUAUUUUAUUUUGGUUGUAUGUUUCGAUCUAAUCCAUAACUGAUGAUACUACAUGCAACUAGGACACGAGUGAAUAAUCUACUUAAGAGCUGCAUCAUGAAGGGAAAACAAGUAAGCUAAGUACAUGGAUUAGAGCAUCUGCACACAUCUCAAGUGGUUGACUUAAGACUGAUUAACAAGCUUAUGUUGUUUCUUACUGAAGCUAGAGCAGACUUGUAUUUCAAGGAAGCGAGAAUGUAUAUAAGUCUUGCUCACGUCUCCUUCCCCUCUCUUGUACCUAUAACUAUCUAUCUCUCCAUUACCAGAUCAUCAGUAUUUACUUGUAUGACGGCAAAAAAUAAUAACAAGAAAAAUUUCACUGCAGAACCUCCUUCAGGCACAAAAUAAUGACCCGAGGAAUAACAAAGUUGGUUUCAAUGAAAGUAAUUAUCGAAGGAGGUUUCAAUACCCAAUGAAUUUAUGUAUGAUUGACUAAUGGUCCUACCUUUUCCAUAAUAUGUUGCUGGUUUUCCUUGAUAAUUGUUUGGAAAGCGUUGAAUUUAGCAUGUUUUAAUCACAAGUGGCCUUCUGAUCCGUCUGUUAUCAUGUUUAGGGUAGCUUACUGGAAUAAUGAUUGGAGUUCCCUGUAGGUGAUGGAGGACGCAAAACGAGCGCUACGACGGGACGCAGGACUUCUGGAAUGAGUCACAACUAAAGUUUUUCAAGCCAGAAAAAGCUUGGUGCCAUGGAUUCCCCGGCUGGAAGAUGGGACUUGAAUUUGGGAUUGUGUCUAUUCCAUUAGUGGUGUUGUCCUGGUUAAUAGCUGGGUGUUGGCAUCGGCAUGUUCAUUGUAAAACACUGUGUAUUUUCGUGUCUUCGUUGUGUUGGUUGUUCCCCUACUCUGUUGCUCAGCUAGGGUUGCAAGGAGGGAUGCCUUAAAAACUUAAUUCCGUGUCCGUGUUGUGUUGGUGGUGGUUGCGUUUUGGUUGUAAAAACCACUUGGUUUCAUUAAUGAAACUGAUAAAAAAAAGUAAGCAUAAACCUUUCAGUGGAAUAUCCAAAAAAGUCCAGGCCAACUGUUUUGAGAGAACAUUUUGCAAUAAGAAAAUUUAGUAGCUACAAUCAGAAUAGAAAUGUUCUUAUCUGAUUCACAUGUUAUCCAUUUGUUCUCUUGUGUUUAAGUGAGUAAUUGCACCAAUUUCGAACAUACAAUAGGUCGUCAAUGUAGCUCAUAUGAAGUGUGCAAUAAGUAAUGAUCCGUGGUAUGGGAGUAUACUCUUCAUAUUCACAUUGACUACACAAACCAAACUUUAUUAUCAGAUCCACACUGACAAGAUAUGAUCCCAAACACACAACCAAACAUAUAUCAUAACUAUAACAAACAAAUGGACAUGGAUUUUUGAAUUAAUAGAAUAUCCCAGGCUAAAAAUCCACAGAUUACUUGAAAAGGAAAAAAUUGACAAAGCUUGUACAGUUCCUUUCAUAGCUACCCGUAUAUGGGUAGCUACAGCCCACCUAGUUUUUGAACAUAUUAUUGGAUGGUGGCGCCAGAUGUAGUGUCCUGCAAAAAAAAGGUAUAAUCAACAUGGCUACAUACCAAGAAACCAAUCAUUAAGGUACUGAUGGAAAUUUGUCAGGAAAAUGUAACAAUCAUAAUGCCAGAUGACUAAAACUAGCUUUGAAAUUUAUAGGCUUAUUUGUUACAUAACCUUAACUACGUCCAAUUGUCAAUACCAUGACGUUUAAAUUUCUUUCAGCUGGACAAGAUAUACAUGCUAGAAACACGAAGAAAAAUAUAUACAGAUUAAGUAGUUGAAUGUAUGUACUUACAGAAGCUUUGACGUAGAAUGCAUGGAUAUUGAGUUCUUUAAUAGUUUGGAACGUAGGGGGGUUGGUGAGUGCGUAAUACUUGAUGAUCCCACGUGCCAUAGCAAACUCUCCAGUCCCACCCAUAAUGGCCAUCUGGCCUUGGCCUGUUUGAAAAUUGAUCCCCAUCGCUUCGAAUGAUGAUCCAUUGUACCUGAUAUAGUUUUAUAGGGCAAUAUCACAUAUCAUAUGAAACUGGAAAAUCUUUAGUAUUUGAGAUCUUUGUAACAAACCAUAUAUGCUAUAUAACCGGGAAAACUAAAACUUGUACUAGUCCAAAAGUAUAUAAAAAUGACCUAGAGUUCUUCUCGAACACCAUGCUGAAGUAGUUGAACCAGCCUGGACCGGCUACAUCAGCCUGCACUUGCAUGCCUUUGGUACGGGCAACAAUGGUGGCAGUAGCGGGGUUUGGUCCAUCAAUCACAGUCCAGUCGGUAACUGCAGUUAGACCAAACUCUGAUGGUUUGCUGGAGGUAACAAUUGCUACCUGGUUGAUGCCUGGUCCGGCGGCGAUUUGGUGCAAGUACAAGCGCAUGUUAACCUCGGACUCACACUGAAGAACACAGGAUAGGGAUGCAGAUGCCAUGGAUAGAAUGGAAUGCAGGAUUAGGAUCAUGGACAGGACUAAAAGGCUAGGGCUAGCCAUUUCUAGCUAGGAUUUUGGCUGGCUGAAGAAGAUGGUAGCUAGGAGGUGUGUCCGUAAACUGACUCUUUCCUUUGUCGAGUGUGUUAGCUGUGUGAGAGACACUUGAGUCUAGGGUACUAUUUGUAGUGCUCCAGAACUAGCUAGCAUAUUCGUUCCAUAUCCUCUUUUUUCAUUUCUCUUUGGGAUGAUCCAUUUCAUAUCCUUUUUAGUUUCUUUUUUUUUCAACUGUCAUUUCAGUUAGGAUAGACAACUACACAUGUGUGACUGAUUCCUUGUACAUCUAUCAACCCUCGGAGAUCACAAAGGUCAAGUGCCUUUUGAGGAACUACCCUUUUUUCCUUGAAAUACAAUGUGUACAUGGUAAUGCAGCAUUGACAAAGACUAAAAUGAAUUAGACGCCCAUUCUUAUCUUUACAUCUAAUUGUAUCUCCGGAUGAGCAGCAGCCUAGAUUUUCCACCUGGACAACGAGCACACUGUCACUACUCCUACAAUACAAAGUUCAAAUACAAGGAUUCAUCGCCGUUGAAUCUGUGAAUCGAUGCGCCGCUCCCCCGCUCCCCCGCUGGGGAAUCGGGUAAAAGGCCGCUCCCCCGCUCCCUAGGGUUUCCCCGCCGCCGCCGGCGGCUCCCCCGCGCGGAGCCGCCGCCGCGGCGGCCGGAGACCGCCGGAGCCGCCAGCCCCCUCCUCUCCCCGUUCCCCUUCUCCUCCCCCCACCCCUCCUCCGCGCCCCCGUACCCCCGCGCCGCCUCCCCGAGCGAGGCGGCCGGGGGCCCUUCCUCCGUGCGCCUCCAGCCCCUCCCCACGCCCAUCCCUCCUCCCGCCGCCGUCAGCCUACGCCGCCGGUCCUCAGCCGCGUGAUGCUGGCGGCGGUGGGCUUGCCCUUCCCCGCUCGCGGUCCUCCCCUGCUCGGGCGAUGAUGGCCGGAGGCGGUGCGCCUUGGCCGGUGGUGGUCCGGCGUCCUUGUUGGAGGCCGGCGGUGCUCGCCGUGGUGGUGCCGCCUCUUGGCGGCGGGGUGGUCCGGUGGUGCUGGCCGGCUGGGGGCGUGUCCCCGGCCCAGAUCUGGGCCCGUAGGGUCCCUUCCGGGUCCUUGCGGGUUGGCUCCGGCGCGACCGUGACGCUCUCUGUAUGGGGAGGCAGGGGAGCGGCUUGGAUUGGGACAGCGACACAGAUGGUGUUCCAGCUGCUGCGCGGAGGCGGGAGCUGUCCGGGCCUUUGACGGCCCGGCCGGGCCUAUGGGGCCACGGGCCCGGUAGGCUCCUGCCAUGGCGUCCGGUCGGCUACCGUCGUGGACGGUGGAGGUGGGGCCCUCCCGUAUGCCAACGGUGUUGUUGCCCUAGUCCCGGCUCCUCUUCUCCGUUGUGCAGACCAUCUUCGUGGUGCCGUGGUGAGACAGCGUGGGAAGCUUCAUGUCCGUGUUGGCGCAGGGUGGUGGCCGGUCUGGUGGCGAGCUCCGGAGUGCCUGAGGUAGAGGCUGGGAUCGGGAGAAAUCUCUGUUGGCUUGGUCAACACCGACGUGGUGGCGUCUGAGGGUGCCGCCGGACCUUCCUUGAGGGCGUCGGGGCUACCCUUCCUCUCUCCUCGUCGUGUACCGGGGGAAACCCUUGGCAGCAGCGUCGUCAUCGUCGCGUCCCUUCUUGGAGGUGUUGUUGGGUACCGGCACUUCGGAGUCUCGGAGCUUGGUGGGCGAUCUCCGGUGGGCGCAGCGGUCACGAGGCUUCGUCGUUUUUGUCGAUCCACCAUUAUCGGCAUUUGUUUCUUUUCUUUUUUCUCUUUCCAUUCUUUUGGGCAUGUUUGUGCUGCUUCCGCCCCAGCCCCUAUCGUCGGUUGUAUUGGUUGAUUGCUUUGUAAUACAAAGCGGGGGGAAACCCCUUUUCUCAAAUCCAAGGAUUCGUGCUGCUUGUAAGUUAGAUACAUAGUUCAUCAAAUGACAUUUAAUUAUCUGGCUCAGUUUAUAGCUGCGAUUGGAGAUGCAACCCCCCACCCAUGGAACCCAGGUCAAAAGCUUUCCUUUCACCUCUUCUUUCCGCCGCCACCGACGUCGCUGCUCUUGUUGGGGCAGACUUGAUGCCAAAGACAGGAGGAAGCGGCCUUGGCAACAUCGCUGGUCUUGUUGAGGCAGCCUUGAUGCCAAAGACAGGAGGAAGCCGCCACACAACACUUCAGUUUGGUGGUGCUCUUCAAAUACCGGAUCUCGAUUUCCAGAGGGGAAACUCUAGCUCAGGCCUUCAUUCACUGUACGUUGGAAUGGCGAUGUUUCGACAUUGUUCCCUUGUUGAAGACAUUGUCUUGAGAUUGCUCGGAAGUCCUAUUCAGGGUGAAAACUCAUGAUCUAGCCUCUAUUAGAUUGGUGACAACAGUGAUCAUCCCUUUCCUAGAGGUGUCGUUGUUGGAGAUCCUUUCUCAUAGUUCGGGUAGUUCCAUUAGCGCAGGUUGGUGUUGGCCACUGAUGCAUGCCAUUGAUUGCUUCAACAUGAAUUUUGUAUGUCCUGUCUUUUUUUAAUAAUUUGGAUGUGUGCAACCCUGAUGGCUGGAUUAGCACAUUGCUUCUUGUAGAGGCUGCAGGGUGGAUGGGAGUGGGGCCGGGGGCAGUGGUGCCGACCGAAAACUAGCAAAUUUACUAUCAUCUUGAUUAACAUAUUUUUAGCGGUUUGUUCCUUGCAAAAAAAGACUAUCAAUGUAUCAAUUAUGCAAGCUAGUUUAAGACCAUUCACAAAUUAUUAUCAAAUGGUUCUAUUAAUGUCAACUGCAUUCAGGAGUCAUGCAUGACGUCAACCAUGUCAAAUUAUUGAAGGUUUAACCUCUGGCUUAGAAACAAAACUUAUGCGUACCAUAGGCCUGCAAAAAUUAAACCACUGUACAUGACAACCACACAAAUAUAAUACCUAGUGGGCAACCUCCGUACGACAACCACAGAAAUAUAAUACUUUUGACAAGUUUAUCAAUGCUACUUGCGUGUUGUCUAAUAAGUAGUGACCUUCAUAAGGAAUUGCGUCGAUCCAAGGAUAACAUCUUAAUUAGCAUACUACUAAGAUUCGAAGACAUAUACUCUUGAAAGUCAGUUGUGCCAUUAGUCAGAUGUGUAUACAGUAUACAAUCCAAUUGUAUGUAUAUGUAUGUCAGUAUGUGUGCUCAUCAACGGUUCACCAUGUUUUGAAGCAACCCAGUCAUCAGUAUGACCGAGUGUUCAGAUAUAUCCAGUAUACAUGCAUUCACGAGUGCUCUUAUUGCUUGUGUGUAACCCAUGUGGUGUGUUUGUUGAUGUAACUUCAUCAAAUAUGCAUCUAUAAUUGAAGGGAGAACCUAUCCUUCAAUUAUGGAUUAGUCGAUUUUCCUAGCCUACUGUUUAUCUUUUUCGCCCACCCUUCUCCACUUCUUUGACCCGUUCCCAACCGUCUGCCAAGCCGUCUGCUAUCUGUGGUGCCGCCAGCCACGCCGUCCGCCGUCGGUGGUGCUUCCGCGUGUGCCCCGGAGCCCUGCCCUGCUCAGUUUGAGCCGCCAUCUCUGCCAUCCCUCUGCACCCUGGCCAUCCCUACAAACCUCCCCACAGUCCCUGGNNNNNNNNNNNNNNNNNNNNNNNNNNNNNNNNNNNNNNNNNNNNNNNNNNNNNNNNNNNNNNNNNNNNNNNNNNNNNNNNNNNNNNNNNNNNNNNNNNNNNNNNNNNNNNNNNNNNNNNNNNNNNNNNNNNNNNNNNNNNNNNNNNNNNNNNNNNNNNNNNNNNNNNNNNNNNNNNNNNNNNNNNNNNNNNNNNNNNNNNNNNNNNNNNNNNNNNNNNNNNNNNNNNNNNNNNNNNNNNNNNNNNNNNNNNNNNNNNNNNNNNNNNNNNNNNNNNNNNNNNNNNNNNNNNNNNNNNNNNNNNNNNNNNNNNNNNNNNNNNNNNNNNNNNNNNNNNNNNNNNNNNNNNNNNNNNNNNNNNNNNNNNNAACCUGUCAAGCCAUUUUCCUCUCCUCCGUCUGCGACCGUGCGGCUAGUCACGACAUCCCGUCUCGUGCUCGAUGUUGCGGUGUGUUGCUCUCUGCAAACCGAGUUGGAUGACGCGAGGAAAAGAAUCAAGACUGAGUAAUAGAAAUUUCCAUGAUUGAAUAUUUCAGUUUGGCAAAACUUUUCAUACAUUUCUAUGGAUUUUCACUGUCAUAGAAACAAAAAAACGUAACAAGGAAAGAAGACGAUGUCCCUUCAUAGGAUUGCAUGGAGGUAACAGAGAUCCAUGUCUUGAAAACGUGGGAAAGAAAGGAGCACGCAAUUGAAAACAAACACCUCAUAAAACUUACACUAGUGCAUACUACGUCGUAAGAACAUCUACAACCGAACCCAAAUGUGACCCCUACACGUCCGUGGAUGCGUCCACAGACAGCGACCGGUCACCCCUUAUAUCUCCGCGUCCUCUUCCGUCCCCCUCAAAUCCAUGCUAACAACAAAACGUCAUCAACAUUUUAUGUAGAAACAAUUUGAACAUAGCAGUAUAAAAACAUAUAUAUUGGGAAUGGCAAGUUUCAUACAAUCGGACACAAAAUGUCCAUCAUCACCUAGAUAUGAUAAGCCUAAACAAUAGAUAAACUCCUACAUGUAGGCGUUGGCUGUCGGAGGGGAUUUGUCGUUGUCCUCGCUCAUCAUGCCGCUGACAUAGGACAGCAUCGAGGAGAUGAUCCCGACCAGACGCCGGACGGCGCAGGCCUGCUCCUUGGUGAGUCGGGCGGCUCUCGUGAGGUUCCUGAAAUCGUCGAUGUCGAGCCAGAGAGCCUUUGCAGUUUUCCUACGUCGGGCAUCCAUCUCUGCUGAUGUCAAUUUUCAGAGGCUGACAUCACGGAGGAGCUCCUCCUCCAGGUCAACCAGCGUGGACCUACAGAAUUCGCAGACACUGCAGGAGGAACCAGCAUUCUCACAGACCUACUGCCUAGCACGGCCGGCUCGCGCCUCUCAUUUGUACGUCCUCCUUGAAAGCUCGUGGUGCGGGAACAAGCAUCCUGCUCCAACCGGGAGGAGCGGAGCCCAAAGUGGUAGAGUAGGGUCACAAAGGGCGAUGGAUCUGGACCGGUGCAAACCGCGACGGGCUGCAUUGCCUCGUCGGCCAACGGGAUAGAAGGCAGAGCUCAAAUUCCUACCCCUGUCCAUCCAUGACCGGCGGAGCGAGGCGCAUGCAAAGGGCGAGUUCUCCUCAUCAUCCAGAUCCGAUUGCGGCAAGGCAUCCCAGUCGAUGGGCUUCGCCUCGUUGCUGGAUCCGCCACUGAAAUCGCUGCCAGAAUCAACCCAUAUGGUAGCCUGAGAAGAGGAAGCAAUGGAGAUGGGAGCGAACAUGACUGGAGUGGAAGGGGAGAGAAGAAGCCAGCACUGAGCUAUGUUUGCACCCUAGUGGAGAUGGGUCGGGCGAGCACGAACGGGUCCAAUAUGACGGCCGCGUCAGGGAGUGUCGAUCUACCCCAGACGAUAGGGCUAACUAUGUGGGGUCCGGUUGGGUGGCAAUUAUGGGCUGAGUAGUGACCGGGCUGUCCGCCCAUACGUUUGGGAGGAUAUGAGUGCUCCUUUGUACAUGCUUUAAAUCUGGGCAUGAGAAGCCGCACCUGCCGGUGCCUAUGCUGGGCUUGUCCCUCUUAGCUGGAAAGCCCCAAAAAGUCAAGGACCUUAUUUUUGGGAUUUUAUAUGAGAAAUAGGUAUGGUAUUGUAUCAAUUUGUCCUAAAAUAAUUCUUUUAUUAUAUUUAAAUAAAAAUAUAGCCAUUUUCGUGGCCAAGCGAGGUGGGAUAAGACCCGGGCUCGGAAUUUUCAGGCCGGGAUCUAGCAGGUCCGUCAGUUUUAAUCAAUUUAUUUCUUUUUCAGUUCUAAGCUGUUUUAAGUACCUGGUCAGCAAUCUCUAACCAAUGAUAAGAUAACAAGACUAGGCCUACUAUCAAUUUUCAUAGUCAAUUGUGUCCCUGGUCACAUUACUCCAAUCCAUCUAUAUUUAUGCGUGCUCAUAACCAGUUCACCUUGUUUGAAAUAAGCCCAGUUAUGUUUCCUUUUUGCAAGAAAGUACCGCAUUUAUAUUAAAUGACUUCCAACAUCCCGGAAAACAGAUCGUCGACGUGGUCCAGUGCAUCACAGGUGGCAACAAUGAACUGAAAGAAAUUGCGAAAUUUAAGGUAGUUGUUAGUGGCAGGAUCUAGUUUGAAGGUGAUCUAGGAAUGGAUGUUGGUUUUAUGGACGGUAUGGGGGCCUAGAGUUAGGAAAAAGGAUUGAGAGGGUAAUAGAGAGAGCACCAGCUACAGUAUUGAGGGCACCAUGGAGCUGAGAAACUGGGAGAGGUUUAACACCCUCUGGUUCUGAAGAAGAAGAAAAAUAAUACCACAAGCCUGCAAAGUAAACCAACAUAUAGAAUUAAGAAGCAAUUUAACAAUACUUAGUGGGCAAUCUCCGUGACAACCAUCAAAAUAUUGCUAUGCUGUUAAGGAAUUAUUUCUUUGAAUAAGCUUGGUACUAGUUGUAAUAGUUGCAUGUUGUCUAAUAUGUGACGUUAGUAAGGAAUUGCGUCAAGCAAAUUAUAGCAUCUUAAUUAUCAUAUUACCAAGACCUGAAGAUAUAUACAACCUUGAAGCCUUAAGAGCUAGAGCCAUUGCCUAUUUUUUCUUAGAAAUUGGGCCAACCCUGUCGCGUACGGAUUUAUUUAGUAGUAAUUAUUCUGUAUAUUUUCAUGGAUAUAUAGGAAUAGGCAGUGUAUAUGUGGAGUGCACACAAUCUUGUUCAACUUUUCUUUGCUGGAAGUAAGCUGUUUUAAGUACUUGGUCAGUAAUCACAAAUCAAUGAUAAGAUCGUAAGACUGGGCCUACUAAUAUAAUCCCUCCGUCCCAAAAUUCUUGUCUUAUAUUUGUCUAGAUACGGAUGUAUCUAAUACUAAAAUGUGACUUGAUACAACCGUAUUUAGACAAAUCUAAGACAAGAAUUUUGGGACAGGGGAGUACUUUCAAAGUCAACUGCGGCCGCUAGUCAGAUGUGUACCACAAGACAGUUACAUAUAUCAUGCUCAGCACGAGUUCACAUUGUUUUAAAAGCAACCCAGACAUAAGUAUGAGUGUUAGUUCAAACAUAUUUGUAAAAGAACACUCGUUUAUACACUUUAGGAGUUAAUACAUUCAUGAGUGGUUUUUUCAUCAUGUAACUGGCACGGAGUGUUACUGAAUAUAACUUUAUUAUUUAUUACAUUUCUUAGGAUUCUUCCUAUCAUGAAACUAGCGGUACUGCCUGCUCAGUUGCGCGGCAAGAUUUUGAUUUGUCAUUUUAAAUUUGGAAACUAUAUUUUGGCAUUUUAAAUAUUUCUUAACACUUUGUAAAUAUGCAUUCUUGUAAUUACCUAAUUGCGAAUGAGGAAUUCAUCAGCAAAGGAAUGCCAAGAAAUAGUCGGUCCCACAAAAAAGGCUGAAAUUAAGUGUUUUUACUAAAAGACAUUCAAUUAGAACAUAUCAUGUAAGAAGGCCUAAAUUCAUCCAUACAUACGCAUUAAGUAUACUUGUGGGGUUAACAAUUUUAAGCAUGUAUACAUGUACAUCUAUUAUCUAUUAUAUAAUUAAGACAAGAGGCAAACAAGCCAUCACGUUCGUCCACAUAUGAUAAUAUUUUGUACACCGUUUCAUUAGAAUAAUAACGGUUGAGAUUUAAAGAUUCUUACGUAACAUCGUAAAAUAGAUGUGCCAGUACAAUUGAACUGUCAUGUUGUCAUGUUAUAUGCAUGUAUAAGCAUUAGGUAUGUAAAAAGAAGAAAAAAAGAGUAAAAAGACAUAUUGGUUUGUCGCGUUACAUGUACCGUCACGUAAAAGAGAUGGACACAGAAGGGUGCAAAUAACCAUGACGUGCACACAUGUACAUACAUGAAUAAGAGUUCUAGGAAAACUAAAGAUGAAAGUAGGGUCACGUGAGAAUUAGAAAGGGAAACCUAGGGGACGAAACUAGAACGUGAAGGCAGACUUCAACUUGGACACGUACAUGUUCUCAAAAAAAAAAAACUUGGACAUGUGCAUGUAACGGAGAAAAAAGCUUUGCAUGAAGGGUAUUCACUGGAAAAGAAUAUGCAUAUGUAAAUCUACCAACUUACAAGGAAACAUACUAAAAAGUCUAGCGUUCUAACGCAUAGCAUAAAAACCUUAUACUCUAUACUGUUACACAACAAAAAAUCAGCUAUUAGGCUCAAAUUAAAAUUUAACCGGUAGAACUGCACAUGCAAUUCAAACUAAAUAUAUUAUUGGUAAUUAGUCAUUCGCUAAUUUAUGAGAAGACGCUGCAAGACAACAAUAUAUUACCGAUUUUAUAUGAAUAUACACCAAUAGUUUUUUUUAAAAUAUACACCAACAGUUCUUAGCCUUAUAUGGUCAGGCUACAUAAACAAUUAGAGUACGAGGACUUUGUCAAGAACAUUUAGAAGCAUGUGUCGAAAGCCGAUAUCGAUGAUACUGCACUAUCUAUAAAAGGAAUGCACAACAAAUAGAGGUACACAACAUAAAUCUUACAUAUUUAAUUGAUGAUGAAAUGAUUUGGCGUGGUAAGAAUCUAAGAUAGGUGUAAUUGGUCACCUUUCGUCGGGCAUCGGUGGAUGUCGAAAGGAUUUCAACCUAAAAGACACACAUUUCAAGUAUAAUAUUUUUUGUAUUUAAAAAUCACAUAUCAGUGGCAAUGUGGCAUUCGACUUAACAUUUAUGUGUUGGAGGAAAUAGCGACUAACCAAGAGCAGUAGAAAUGUGGAAUUUGAUUAGUGUUAUGGGACAAGCGGCUAGCUUGGUAAGCUACCAACAAAAAAUUGCAAUCAAUGAUUAGUGUUAUGGAAUUAUAUGGCUUAGUAUUGUAAGGUGCUGAUCUCCAUGACAUAGCACACUUGAAAGAAGUAUUGUUAAACUGACGAUUCCAAGGUCUUAUGGCUUUCUCGGAGAUGCACAUUUUGGUCAUACGUUACUAUAUAAUAUAAAAGUUGGUGUUGAAAACAAUACUACAUAACAAUUAGACUCGAAUGAAUGAUAGAGAAUAUUUUACCAAAAGAAGAAAUCAAGCAUUAAUUAAGGAAAAAUCUGUGUCCUGCCUUUUUUUUGUUUUGAAAUCCGGUUAUAUUCAAAUAACUGGGCAGUGGGCACCAUUAGAACUGAACAAGCCCUGGACAGCCCAAGCGAGAAUAUUGUAUCAACUUUAACCAUGAAGUGGCUUUGAUAGUUACCUCACAAUGAGAAGAUGUACAAGCAUAUAAACGUAUAUAUGGAUAUAUGACAUGUAUUUAUAAGAACACAUGUGCAUAAACAGACGGUGUAUUGCUACAAGCCAACAAUUAAUGUUUAGAUUUUAUUGACAAAAAUUCUACAAGAAUAUUUGGUGAAAAGAUAAAUGAAAAUGGAUUUGAGAAGGUGGAAUAGUGAAAGCCACGUAUUAGUACAAAAUCAUAUGGUUUUCCAUGGUGGGACACAUGCCUUGGUUCUGUCUAUCUUUGAUUGCCAUAAUAACCCAGUCUGUACCAACAUCUUUAUACAUAUUACAAAAAUAUACGAUGUGAACUUUGGUGAUGAUUUAUAUAGAUAUAAAAAAAAUGUAAUUGGUUAUAUAAAUAUUUAUAUAAUGACAGAUCAAAUAAAAGAAGAUACAUAGAGAAAUAACAGCACAAAACAUAUAAUAUAAAUAAAGGAAGUCUAGCCGCGCAAACGCGCGGGUCACUAUAUAUAAAAUAGCUGGGCAACUAAGUUUUGGUGAACUUAUUGUGGAAGUACAUGUCGUCCCACGUUAUAUGAAGUGUGUGGUCGUUCUUGUCAUUAAGUAAGGAUACCCAUUCAGAGCAGGAUGCUUUAUGGCUAAGCUCCUAUAUUACUGCCGGCCCAAGUUGAUGACAGAGAAACUCCUGAUCAAACAAGCUGAUAUACGGGAGCACAUCACCUUGUCGAUGCUAUGGAGGAACUUGACGCCGAGACCGCGAUUAGUCAUCGCUUGAUCAAUAUCUGCGAGGAACUUGAGCUGCUACCCAUACUUGGUGACAGACAUGGUGCUCUCCUUGAGCAUGUGGUACUUGACGCUAAGACUGAUGAUGUGUGCGGAGUUAUUGUUGAGGAAGUACUGGUGGAGGCGAUUCCAUGCCGACAAGGCAAUGCCGUCAUUGGACAUCGCAAGUCCAGAAGACCAUCGUCGAUCAUGGUAUAGACCCACAACAUGAUCCUGAUGUCAGCACGCUGCUACUCGGGGUCAUCAAUUUCAAGUUCAGAUGUUGAAUAAUGUGGUUGAGUUCGGAGGCGGGGAGGACGAACCAGAAGAAAUGCACCAUUUAUGGUAGUUGUUGACAACUUGGGUCGAGUUUAAAGGUGAAGUAGGACUGGAUGUUGGUAUUAUGGACGACAAUCGGGCAUGAAGUUUGUAAAAGGGGUUGGGAGGUAAGAAGAGGGAGUAGAAGAAAUAGUGGCGACGGGCGCCAUGGCAUCAACAGAGAAACAUGGAGAGGUCUUGGGGGUUUGCGCCAUAAGUGACGUGGUGCUGGAGUUGGUCUGGCUGUUGUUCACUGGUGUUACCAAGCUGAACUCAGUAAUAUGUAUUGUUUGCCUCAAGGUUUACAAGUGUAAAUGUGCACAAUAUAUAGAGAAAGGUCACAGAGAGAGGCCUAACUAACUUCAACANNNNNNNNNNNNNNNNNNNNNNNNNNNNNNNNNNNNNNNNNNNNNNNNNNNNNNNNNNNNNNNNNNNNNNNNNNNNNNNNNNNNNNNNNNNNNNNNNNNNNNNNNNNNNNNNNNNNNNNNNNNNNNNNNNNNNNNNNNNNNNNNNNNNNNNNNNNNNNNNNNNNNNNNNNNNNNNNNNNNNNNNNNNNNNNNNNNNNNNNNNNNNNNNNNNNNNNNNNNNNNNNNNNNNNNNNNNNNNNNNAUGGGCUCUAGUACAACACGGUUGAGUUACAACAGUACAUACAUAUGGUGCGUAGAUGUUUAAUAAUAUUGAUUUGAAUUCAUGUAUGACGGGGUAACAAAUGGCAAAGAUUAACAAUAACAUUAGACUGCCUGCAAUAGGAAUAUCAUACUAGCUAGUAUCAUGCACGACAACUAAGCAUUUUUUAUGAGGUGAAUAUAAAUGAAGAAAAAAAGAGUCCAGUAUUAUAUCAUGAUAUCGUAUCAUAAUAAAUGUUAUGCUCCUAUGUGUCAUACAUAACAACAAAUAAGGCCAUAUCUAAGAUACUAAUACACGAUAUUAUGCAUUAUAGAGGUAAUAUGAUAGAAUAGUAUCAUAUGCAUGAUAUGAACUUAUGAUAUGUACAACUCAUUACGGGAGCCUUAGCCACGCAAAUGUAUGGGUCAUUUUGCUAUAAAUGAUCCUUCUGACGUCAAACUGCACGCAUUAUUGCACAGAUCACUUGCGUAGAAUUUAGCACAAAAAAUAUUGGUGCGCAGGGUAUAUGCUAUAUCAAAGUCAACCACAGUUAAUUAAGUGACACGAAUAAGAACUAGCUGUAUUCGCAAAAAAAAUGAAUAAGAACUAACUAGGUUUUCUUAUUAUUUUAUUGGCGGUGUAGUACUAGCUAUCCAGCUAUGGCUAUCCUCGCAUUGGCUCCCUAUAAAUAGCAUCCUGCUCCCUCAUAUGGACAUGUACCAGUUAAGCAGCCAGCUAGCUCAUCUCCAUUGCAUCUGUUCUUGCUCUAUUCUCCAUUAGAACCUCCCAAUUCAUCAAUGGCUUCAUCUCUGAAGGUGGCCGCUGUCGUCGCGGUUUGCAUCCUGCUUGUCCUGAACAUGGGCCAGCCGGCGGCAGCCACAGAAUGUGAAGAUUGUCUAGGCGCCUGUGUUGGCAUCUGCAUCGCCUACGCUGAAACAUCAUGCACCGGCAUAUGCACCGCCAUAACUCCUGCAUGUCAGGCAUGUAAGGACGCGGCCUUAAUUGAGUGCGGUGCAACAUGCUAUGGCGGUUGUACCCUCCUCUGCUAAACCACCGGCCGGCUGUGCCCUGUUGCUCGCCGUAAGCUAGGUGCAUGCUUGUGUUCGUUGUUACUUCGUUGUUGCUAUUAUAAGCCAAAUAAGCGAACUAAUGCCGUUGCUGUGUGCAUGUGGCAAAAGUUCCUUCGUUUUAUUGUUCCACCUCGUUUCAACCAUCAGUAAAUAUACUUGUGUGCAAGUUGUGUAUGUUUUGUGCUUCUUCGUACAUAUCAUGUGUCCAAUGUGUUGUCAUACUUAAACAAUAGGGAUAUAUCCUUAUCAAGAGAACGCAGUUCCAAAGUAUGUAGUUUCGCUUCCCUCACGGUAGGGUUUCUUCUUUCACUCAGCGCCUCAUAGUGGCGUAAAGAUUGCAUCUAAUUCCUUCACAACUUGUCUUCUUCCAGCAUAAAACUCCGUCCUAAAUUUUCUAUGAUUUUUCUUGUUCACCGAAAAUACUAGUUUCCUUUGCUGUGCUUGAUCGUUCAUGAAUUAUUCCAACUAGUUCCAUGCAAGACUAGUUUAAGACCAUGGACGGAUUAAUGUUAAGUGGUAGCUUAUUAUAUUGAUGCCAACUCCAUUAUAUGUAGAAGGGUUGACACCAUGGGCCCGCAAAGUAAACCAAUAUAUGGAAUUAAGCAUGCAAUUUAGGAAUACUUAAUGUGUAGUCUCCGUGGUAGCGACCAAAAUAUUGCAAACAGCGAUUUUCUAAUGCUAAGGAAUCAUUACUUUGAACAAGUUUCUCGGUGCUAGUUGCGUGUAGUCUAAUACGUAGUGGCAUUCAUGAGGAAUUGUGCCAAUCAAUGGAUAAUAUCUUAGUAGUCGCAUAUUACUCCGUCCAUUUGAAAAUACUUGUCGAAGAAAUGAAUAAAAAUGGAUGUAUCUAGAAGUAAAAUACGUUAGACACAUCCAUUUCAACGACAAUAUUUCUGGACCGCUCAUUGAUAUGGUCUAAUCUAGCAAGAACUACUAUUACAAGUACUUCGCAGCUACGUGCACCUGCUUCAUCGAGCAGGUUUACAUUCGCGGGGUGGGUAAUAAAAUGAGCGGCCCUGGUGUGCCCUAGUCGUAGUUGCCGACAUGCAUGGGUCAGCCGCUACGUACUUUCUUGCGUGUAAAGAGUGACCAAUGACACAGAUUGCGUGUAAAGAGUGCCUCUCAGCAGAAAAGCCCCCAAAAUCCCAUGAGACCUUAUUUUUGGGAUUUUAUAUGAUAACUAUGUAUGAUACUGCAUCAAUUAAUCACAAAAUAAUUUAUUUAUUAUUUUUAAAUAUAAAUAUAACUAUUUUGUGCCCAAGGGAGGUGGGGUCAGACCCUGGCCUCGGCAUUCUCAUACCGGUUCUGGCAGGCCCAACCAUUUUAACAUAUUUAUUUAUUUAUUUAUUCCGUGACUAAGCCGUUUUAAGUACUUGGUCAGCAAUCUCUAACCAAUGAUAAGAUCACAAGACAAGGCCUACUAUCUAUCUUCAUAGUCAACUGUGCCGCUAGUCACACUACUCCAAUCCAGUUAUAUUGAUGCGUGCUCAUCAUCAGUUCACCAUGUUUUAAAGCAACCGAGUUAUCUUUCUUUUUUGCGUGAAAGCUCCGUCUUUAUAUUAAAAUACUUCCAACAUUCCGGAAAAAAUAUCGUUGAUGUGGUUAAGAAGCAAUUUAACAAUACUUAGUGGGCAAUCUCCAUGACAACCAUCAAAAUAUUGCUAGCUAGUUUUCUAAUGCAAAGGAAUUAUUGCUUUCAAUAAGCUCGGUACUAGUUGCAUUGUUGUCUAAUAUGUGACGUUGGUAAGAAAUUGCCUCCAGCAAAGGAUAACAUCUUAAUUAACAUUAAGAGCUAGAGCCUUGCCUAUUUUUUCCUAGAAACUGGGCCAACGUUGUCGCGUACGGAUUAAUAAAGUAGUAAGUAUUCUGUAUUUUCUCAUUGAUAUAUAGGAAUGGACCAGUGUAUAUGUGGAGUGCACACAAUCCCUUGCUGGAACUAAGCCGUUUUAAGUACUUGGUCAGCAAUAUCAAACCAAUGAUAAGUACACAAGACUGGGCAUCCUUUAUAACACUAAGCUCCCUAGUUUUAAUGAGCGUACAUUCAAUUGAGGUUUCCAGUUAAAAUUGAGUCCCGAUUUUGACCGAGUCAACAAUUUCUCAAAGCCCCAUGAUUCUAUUCUUUUAUUGCUUUCUAAUUUUUUAGGCCUCACAACUAAUUGAUGUAUUAAAUUUAGAAUUGGGUCAUCCAAAUUUGAUCGAGUCAACAAUUUCUCAAGCUCACACUUUCAAUUCUUUUCAUUCACCAUAUUCCAAAAUUUUGAAGCUCUCAUUCAAUUGAGGUAUUCAAUUUUGAUUUGGUUUACUGUUUUGACUGGUCCAACGAUUUUUCAAAUCAAUCAACAACAACCGACCUAUAAAAACAUAUCAAUCCUCCGCACCCUCCCACCACCUAAAAGAAGCAUCGUCAUGUGAUACUAUAGCAUCAAUAUAGUACAUGCAAUCAUCGACACGGAAAUGUCCACACAUAAUUAUAGGUUGUUUAGCCAAUAACACGGAAUCACACCAUGAAAGGCGCACCAAAUCACCGCAUUAUAAGUAAAAAUAAACCACACUAUCAUCUCUUCCACCCGCCAAACUAAAUAUUCCAUCAGCUAUAAAAUAUAAGGGGUCCCCAACACGCACGAGGAUUAGCCCCCGCGUCGUCUUCCUGGCGGCUCGGGGGAGAAAAAACCCUAGCCACCGCGACUCCUCCCCCUCCCCUCCUAGUCUCGCCGCCGCCGGAGGGGUCGCCCUGGAAAAGGCCGGGCGGCCUUGAGGAAGCUGGCGGCGGGGCAACGAUUCCCUUUUGGUGGCGCGAGCAUGCGAGAGCUCCGCGCGCGGCAGAGGAGUUGCGGACGGCGGCAGCCACCGCCACGGGACGGGAAAAGCACGGCGAUCCAGUUGGCCUGGCGCUGCGGGCGCACCAUGCGUGGCGACGGUGUGGCCUAUGAUCUCCUACUUGGCGGCUUGGAUCUGGGGCUUCUGAUCUGGGUCGGGCAUCCAGGUUGGGGCUUUGCCUGGUGUCACGGUGACGGCUACUCUGCUGCGUGCUGGCCUGUUGGUGGUGGCCGGCCAGGAGGCGGCGGUGGAUCUGGCUUCAGAUCUAUCCGGUGGCAAGUUUGGAGUGGCAAGACUUUCAGAGAAAACCAAGCCUCAACUACGGUCAUGGUGGACGAUGGCGGCGUCUUUUGGCGUCGUUACCUUGUCGAAGGCAUCGUCAUAGCAAGUCGCGUCACUCCUUUCGGCCUGCUCUGGGGGAAACCCUAGAUCUGUUGUCAUGGAUCGGGCGAUGGCGACGUCAGGCACCGCGCUCCUUGCUGGGGGCAUCGUUUUGGAGCAGGUACCGACUUGGGUGGACAGGUGGUGGAGCGGCGUGGUAUCUAUCGCUCAUCAACGACUGGUCUCGGCGGCGUGGCGCAGCGGGGUCUCGCUGACAGAUGCGAGAUGAUGGACGCCCGCAGGGGGGCGGCGCUGUCUGGCGUCAUGGUGGUGUCGACAGCAGCUAGACCCGGCGAGGUAGAUGCAAUAGUACAUCACUGAAAAUGGAUUGGUGGCAGGUGGCUGCGACGGCCUCAUACCUGGUAGGCGUCCUGGUUGAGGAGUACGCCGGACUGGUGGGUGCCCCAUACCCGGCAGACGUCCUCGUUGGGACCUCAGGUCUUAGAUGUUUGGUUUGGUUGUGAGGUAUGUUUGUUAUUAGGCCCAGACUAUCAGCAUCCCUUCAUCAACUGGAUUGGAGUAAUGACAGAUGUUGCCUAGACGGUGACUUUAGUCUUACUAUUGUAUGACUUUGUAAGGUCUUAUGUGAAUAAUUAAUAAAGUGGAUGCAUGCAUCGUCCAGAUGCAGAGGCCGGGAGUCCUUCUCCUUUUCUAAAAAAUAUAAUAAAAUAUAAAGGGUAUUAGGUUUUUAGAAAGACAAAUUUCUUUAGCUUUGACCAAGUUUAAAGCAAAACAUCGACAUCCACAAUAUUAAACAAAAAAAAAGUAUGGAAAUUCAAUUUUUUUUGAUGAAUCUGAAAAUACUGAUUUGAUAUUAUGGAUUUUGAUAUAUUUCUUUACAAAUUUCAUCAAACUUAAAAGGUUUGACUUUUCAAAAACAAUAAUACAUCUUAUAUUUUGAAAAGUGUGAUUAUUUUUUUAACAAAACCAACAAACACGAAAGUAUAUUUUGGUAUAUUAAAUAUAUAUUUUUGCUUUGAAAAUAUAUAUUUGUUGUAGUCACCUUGUUUUGUAUGAGGAAUUCAUCAGCAAGGAGUGCCAAGAAAUAGUCAGUUGUACUAAAAGCUGAACUUUCAAUGCUUUUAAUAGAAAGAACAUUCGUACAUAUUAUUUAAGAAUGCCUAAAUUGAUCCUAUGCAUGUAGUAAGAACACCUGCGGUGUUAUAUUAUUAAGUAUGCAGAUGUAGAUUAUAGGAUAAUUGGACAACUAAGUAUUCGGGAUUACUCUGGAAAUACACAGUAUGAUCUUCAUAUCGUUAUACGAAGUGUGUAUAGCCCUUUUUACUAGUGAGUAAGGGUGCUCAGUCAGAUCAGAAUGCUUUAUGGUCGAACCCGGACUGCCAACAGGAGUUGAUGACUGAGAAAUCUUCGAUUAAACAAGGUAAUCAUGAGCACCCAUAAUCUUGUCGGUGUCAUGGAGGGAACUAGAGGAAGAGAUUCCGAUCAGUCGUGGCCUCAUCAACUUCAGCAAGGGAAUCACCGAGGAACUUGGACUAUGAUGCAUACUCAGCGACCGACAUGGUGCCCUGCAUGAGAAUGCAGUACUUCCUGUUAAGAUGAAUGGCGUGGGUGGCAUUGUUGUUGAGGAAGUACUGGUGGAGGCGAGUCCAUGCUGAUAAGACAAUGUCGUCGGAGGACAUUGCCAGGUCCAGAAGACUACCGCCGAUAGUUGUGUAGAUCCAACAGAAGAUCCCGGUGUCGGUACAUCGCAGCUUGGGAUCGUCGACGUAAAGUUUGAACGUCAUGUUAAUGUGGUCGAGUACAACGCCGUAACGCAGGUGGAGAGGAUGAACAGCAAGAAAUCAGACGUUUAUGAUAGUUGUUGGUGGGUGGGUCCAGUUUGAAAGGGAUGUAAGAGUGGAUGUUGGUAUUGUACACGGCAAUGGGGGCCUGAAGUUUGAAAAAUUAAUUGGGAGGGUACGAAGAGAGAGUUGAAGCAGUGGUGAUGAUGGGAACCAUGGCGCCGACAGAGAAACUAGGAGAGGUCUGCAAGGUUUGCGCCAAAAGGGAGGUGGCACUGGAAUUGGUCUGGGUGUUGCUCAAUGGCGAGCAGAUGGCUCUGAUUACAAAGGUGAAUUAUAUAAUGCUUGCAUCCAGGUUUACAAGUGUCGAUGUACAACACAUCAGAUAAUGAAUAGAGAGAGCCCUAACUAACUGCAACAUACGGAAAAAGGCACCCACAGGUGCACGAGAGAUCUUCGAUCCUAACCUCUAAGGACUAUGGUACAACACGAGCUUUGCUAUACCUGCGGGGGCUCGUGUGGGGAGGGGGUUACGUAAUGUUUUGCCAAUUUCUAAUUGUUCAUUGGUGGGGGCGUGGGGCCCAUCCUAAAAUUCAGGGGUGUGUUUGAUUAGUUCAGAAUGAAGUUACGUAGGAUGCAUUACGUAGUUCUAGCAUGUUUGGUAGUACGGGUACAACGGUACAUACAGAUGAUGCAUUGUUUAACAAUAUUAAAUUGAAAUCAUGUACUACAAGGGUUAGCAAAUGGCAAAGACUAACAAUUCUCAUGUCAAAGUGCAAACAUUCAAUCAUUGGUGCACAAUGAACAUAUGAUAUUGAAGUCAACAACAGUUAAAUUAAACAAUAUGGAUCGCACUCAAAAAAUAUUUAAGUGAUACAGAUCAGCAAAUUUGCUAGUUCUGGUUUUUUUUUUGUGAGGUGGAGAAAGAAUGCUAGCUAGCUAGCUAGCUAGUUCUGGGUAGUCCUCACGUUGGCUGCCUAUAAAUAGCAUCCUGCACCAUCAUAUGGGAAUGCACCAGUUAAGCAGCUAGCUAACUCAUCUCCAUCCAUCGCAUCUCUUCUUCCUCAAUCCUCCACUAGAACCACCCACCCAAUUCAUCAAUGGCUUCAUCUCUGAAGGUGGCCGCUGCCGUCGCCGUGGCCGUUUGCGUCGUGCUUGUGCUGAACAUGGGCCAGCCUGCGGCAGCCACAGAAUGCAAAGAUUGUCUCGCCGACUGUGUUGACGUUUGCGUCGACUACUCUGACACUGCGUGCAGUGGCAUCUGCACCGCCAAACCUCCUGCAUGCCAGUCAUGCAAGUACACGUCCUUCCUUACAUGCGGUGGCACAUGCUACGGCCCCUGUGCCCACUUCUGCUAAAGCCUAUAGUGGCUGUAAGCUGUCUGUGUGUGUUGGUACCUCGUUGUUGCUAAGCCAUGUAAAUAAGUGAACAAAUGCUAUUGCUCUGUGCAUAUGGCAAAUGUUCCUUCGUUUUAUUGUUCCCCUUUGUUUCAACCAUCAGUAAAUAUACAUGUAUGUGUGCAAGUCAUGUACUCCUAUAUAUGCUUUCUGCUUCUUUCUAUCAUGUUUCUGACCUGCUCAUGCUGGGGUGGAUAUCAGGUGAUACCACCUAUUACAUGCUCCCAUGCUAAAAAAAUUAAAAAGUCAUAGUUAGAUGUUUCAAAAAAAUUGAAAACAAUUAUGGAUGUUCACAAGACAUACGCCUAUAACCCCUAAAAAUUCAGAUCAAAAUUCGAAAUAUACAUUGAGAAACAAAAAGACAAAUCUAUAUGUCAUGUUUUGUCUUCUUUUACACUAUUCAUUCUAGAUUUUUCAUUUUUGUUUCUCAAUAGGUAUCUCAAAUUUGGGUCAGACUCUUUUAGGGGUCGUAGUCAUAUGUCUUGUGAACAUCUACAAAGUUUUUCAGAACAUCUAAAUGUGAUUGAUAGCUAGCAUAAAUAUCCAUCCAUGAUAGAUCCUUCUUCCUUCCACUCCGCCAUCAUGGAUUGGACUUGGCUUUGGCUUUGGGGCUGGUUCAUCUGAAGUGCUCCCAGACAUAGAGCUCUGACCUAUUUUCCUAAGAAAUUGGACCAAUGUUUUCAUACUGACGAAUUUAGGAAUAGUUCUGCUGCAUUUUGUUCAUUGAUAUAUACGGAUAGGGCAGUGUAUAAGUGGAGUACUUCGCUGAUGCCAGCAAGUUAGUAACCAUCACUUACACGCGUUAACAAAUUCUUCUGUAACAAGUAGUUUAAUAUCAUUCACAAAUUAAUGUCAAGUGGUAGUAGCUUCUUCUAAUAAUGUCAACUCCAUUCACCAAUCAUUCAGGAUCAUGACAAAUCAAAGAAGGUUCCACACCUUCAUAAAUUUGGCGCCACCUUUUACCGAUUAUAAAGAUCCAAAUUUCAGCGAUUGUGUUGUGGAUGCUCUUAAUCUUGUAUUGUUUCAUCCAUUGACACACCCAUUCCGUAAAUGAAACGAUUGAAACAACUUUUAAUAUUAGAGUUAGUGAUGACAAAUUCAUGAAAUUUAUUUUUUAGGGUGUUUUAAAAUAAAAAACAAUGUGUCCUUACCUGAGCAUUUUUAAGUGAUUUUGGGAAGUGAAAUCACACAAGAACACUGUGUGAGAGCCGAAAAUAAAAAAGAAAUGUAAAAGAGUUAGUACAUCGGGCCUGCGUGACCAUCUCCAUGGUACAGCUAGGCUACUGCUGGAGAACGUUUCCCACAGCGCUUACAAGCCCUAAUAUCUACUCCUCCAUCCAGAAUUACUUGUCGCAUAAAUAGAUGGAAAUGAAUGUAUCUAGAAUUAAAAUACAUCUACAGACAUGCAUUCUUCCGACAAAUAUUUUCGGACGGAGGGUGUAUCUUGGGCCAGUGACCAGCAACAUCAGAUAGCAUUAGUUAUCUUCUCUCCUUUCCAUAAAGGGAGGAAUGAUCGGGCCAAGGUCGCCUAAUUUUGCCAUGGCCUCUAGCCAACCACCCCAUCGGGCGUAGCCAAGCCAUGAACGCUUCUCUUCUCUCUUACCGGAGCCUGAUUUUUAGGCUAAGUAUCGUAACUAGUAUCAGACAUGCCGAUUAUGCAAUUUUAAUGAGGUGGCAUAGAAAUCUAUAAUACUAUGCAUUACGGAGGUAGUAUCAUACACUAGCAUAUGAUACUAAUAUAUGAUACUCCCCACUACAACCAGCCUAAGUAAUCAGGUGCUCCAAAGUGAAAAUGUGUGUCUAGUGUGCAUAAUAAAGUGCCUAGGUGGACAAUACAUGCAUGUCCAUCCUUGGGCAGCAUAGCAGCCAACCCUACCCUACCACAUGCUGGCAAUUGUUUAUUAUGUUGAUCUCAUGUCAGUGUGGCCAUGCGAGUGUUAAUUAAGUAUUACUAAUACUUGUCGUUCAAACGGAUGUAUUUAGAAACAAAGUGAGACCUUCAUCUCGUGAGAAAGACCGCCGAUGGCUACCGGCCAUCGCCCUCGCGCCAGGAAGAGUACGUUGCCGUGCAGUCCGCCGACGUGGAAGACAAGUUUAUCAAGUUUAUCAAUUCUACUUGCAUAUAGUACUCCCUCUGUUUUUAUUUAGUUCGCAUAUUAGCUUUGGUCAAAGUCAAACUUUACAAACUUUCAUCAAGUUUAUUAACAAAAAUAUUAUGAUAUACAAUAACAAAUCAACAAUAUUAGAUUUAUUAUUGGAUGUACUUUCACCUCGAAUAGAUUUAUUAUGAUAAAUGUCUAUAUUGUUUUCUAUAGACUUGGUCAAACUUUACGAAGUUUGAUUUUAGUCAACUCUAAUAUGCGGAGUAAAUAAAAAUGAAGGGAGUAUAUUGUCUAAUAAGUAAUAACCUUCGUAAGGAAUUGCGCGGAUCCAAGGACACCAUCUUAAUUAGCAUACUACUAAGAUUCGAAGAUAUAUGCUAUGCAUAUUAGAUUCGCCUCAAGUCAAACUUUAUAAAUUUUGAUCAACUUCGUCCAAAAAAUUGUGAACAUCCACAAUAUGAAAUCAACAUCACUAAAUGCCGGCCUAGAGAGACACGAGAGCUUCUACGUGGCAUGCCAUCAACCUUCAACCCGGGUAGUGCGAAGUCAACCGCUCGAGCUGAUUCCAUCCAUGCACGCAUCAGGCCGACCUCCAACCGGGAUAGAUGCCCUUAAGGCAUAUACAAUGGUACUAUCUUAGAAAUGUCAUGUAGGAUAAUUACUAGGAUAAAGGAAAGAAAAACAAAUAAAAAAAGUGUUCCAUUUCUCUUACUUAUGAGAUGAUCUGUUAGCCCCAUAUCUUUUACCAUUACUCCUUGCAUAUGAGAAUAUAUUUUUAUUGCGGAUAAAACUAAGAGAUACCCCAUUCUACCCGUGAUUUUAUUAUCAUCUCUAAACUACAUGGUAGGCUUCAAAGAUAAAAUUGUUUUUUCAACCAUUGUACAUGCCUUUAGUAGGUUUUUGGCUGGGGUACCAAGUAUAGUUUUUCAAGAAAAGUCUCCUUCCUCCUUCCGCCAGCGCUGCUGCCGAUCCGCCCCACCUCCAAUGGCCCUUGGGCCGUGGAGGUGCGGAGGACCUCGGCGGGAGGGACCCCGUUCUCUUUUUCGUUAGGUUCAAUGUCUUGAUUGGAACUGUGUGGCGGUGGCGAUGUCCCUCUGUACAAAUAAUGUCACCCACGUCAUAUCCCUGUCCCAAUGGUGCGGAUAGCAUCGUCGGAGGAUGUGUGGAGGUGUGUCUUCAUCAGAUCUCGUGGAAUUCGGUCGGUGCUAGUCUUCGGUGGAUCUAGUUGGAUCCAGUUUUUGGUUAUCUUCGUUCAUGUGGUUUCAGGUUUGAUCUUUCUGAUCUGCAAGUCUCUUCAUCGGUGAUGGUUGCUGCUCUAGUGCACGGUUCUUUUGGGGCCUUGGCACGAUGACUUCCUGGUUGUCUACUAUAACAAGGUUUGUCCGGCCCUGGUGAGGCAGGGGCGAUGAUGGCGGCAAGCCUUCGGCUCGUUCCAAUGCUUGUAGUCGUUGGUAGGUGGUUCAUAGGCCUGGUUGUAAUUUUAUUACAUUUUGUGUUCUCUGUAUUGCCAUGAUUGAUGAAUGGAUUGGAAAUUUCUCUCGAGACAAAAAUUAGGUUUUUGGCUAAUAGUGAUAAAUUAUGUGGCAUGCACAUGCGGCGGUACCAUAAUCAAGGUGCCUUCACGUGCUACGUGGAUGGACAUGCAUAGCCCUACCACGUGCUAUUGUUUAAGUUGAGCUCAUGUCAACAAACACACCGCAAAUUAAUCUAGUUGGUCAAACCAAAUCAAUAGAUCGAAGAAGAAAUACAGAGCUAUAACAAUCAUGCAUAAAAGAGUUCGGAGAAAACUCAAAUAAUAUUCAUGAAUAGAUCUGAUCAUAAACUCACAAUUUAUCGGAUCCCAACAAACACACCGCAAAAAAGAAUUACAUCGGAUAGAACUCCAAGAACAUCAAGGAGAACAUUGCAUUGAAGAGCAUCAAGAGAGAAGAAGAUAUCUAGCUACUAACUAUGGACCCGUAGGUCUGUGGUAAACUACUCACGCAUCAUCGGAAGGGCAGCAAGGUUGAUGUAGAUCCCCUCCAUGAUUGAUUCCCCCUGCGGCGGAGUGCCAGAAAAGGUCCCCGGAUGGGAUCUAUCGAGAACAGAGGCUUGCGGCAAUGAAAAAGGUAUUGUGUGGACUCCUUUGUUGGUUUCCCGAUUUUCAAGAAUUUAUAGAAGCAGAGUUAGGUAAAACAAAGCUACGUGGGUCCCACAAGCUACAGGGCGCGCCCUGGUGCCUUGUGGGCUACUGCUCCAUCUUCUCAUCCCCUCCUAAAGCUUCCAGGGUCUCUUGCCAGAAAAAAAAUCUCCAAAAAAAUUUUGUGGCAUUUAGACUUCGUUUGGUACCAAAAAAUAGCAAUUAACACUAGGCACUAAGUUAAUAGGUUAAUCCAAAAAAAUGAUAUAUAGUUGCGUGUAAGUAUAUAUAAAAUAUCCAAGAUUAAUAUUAUAAUACCAUGUAACAAUAAAAAAUUAUAGAUACGUUGAAUACAUAUCAACAGAAAAGGGUUGCGGGAAGGAUAAUGCCGGGAACAUAUUGUGGAAAAGUUUUGCGGGAAAUUGCGGGUGCCGGAAUAAAAUUACGGUCCAAAAUAUGGUUCCAUUCAACCAUUGGCUGAAAAUUUUGGUCUCAUGCAGCUGUCGUCUUAGCCUAAGCCGAUUUGAACUAAUCGGCUUCAGCCUUCUCUAUUAGUACUAAUUGGCUACGGUUAAGAUGCUUAGUUCCAAUCGGCUUAGUCUAAGAUGACUAGAGCUAGUCGGCUUAGGUUAAGCCAACUGGACACUAACCAGCUACGUCGUGGCAGAUUGGAUCUAGUCGGCUUAACCUAAGCCGAUGCUGGAUUAUUUUUAUAAUAUACAAACCGUGUAUUACUUUCCAAAUUGAUUACAAAUAUAUCAUUUUAAAAAAUUAGCCUCAUUCUACCCUCAUGUUUAGGAUUUCGUUCAUUCCAGAUUGUCUUGAUAUUUUUCUUCGGUUCACACCGUCGUAUUAAAUGACAAAAACGGUCCCAAUAAUUUGGUCAUAAACAUGGGGGCGGAAUGUGUUUCCAUCUUGAAGAUGUAUGUCCUUAAGGCGUAUACAAUAGUACUAUCUCAAAAGUGACACAUAGGAUAAUAACUAGGGUGAAGGAAAGANNNNNNNNNNNNNNNNNNNNNNNNNNNNNNNNNNNNNNNNNNNNNNNNNNNNNNNNNNNNNNNNNNNNNNNNNNNNNNNNNNNNNNNNNNNNNNNNNNNNNNNNNNNNNNNNNNNNNNNNNNNNNNNNNNNNNNNNNNNNNNNNNNNNNNNNNNNNNNNNNNNNNNNNNNNNNNNNNNNNNNNNNNNNNNNNNNNNNNNNNNNNNNNNNNNNNNNNNNNNNNNNNNNNNNNNNNNNNNNNNNNNNNNNNNNNNNNNNNNNNNNNNNNNNNNNNNNNNNNNNNNNNNNNNNNNNNNNNNNNNNGCUCGCCUACUAGCGGGGAUCCAUCCGACGGCGCUGCAAGAUCCGGUGUGGUGGGCCUCUUCGCCGGCGUCGGGGGGUGGAUCCGGGGCUGCUCAGGCCGGAUCCGGCGCGUGGUGGUGCGGUGCUGAUGGCGGCGGGAUCGAGCGCGCGAGGUCCUGCUGGUCCGAUGUCUCGUGGCGGCUCGUCAUGGCUCUGUGGUGGGCGCUGGCUGGAGGAGGAGAUGCCCGACGCAGCUGGCUGGUGAUGGCGUGUCGCUGUGAAGCGCGCAGGCCGGUGGCGGCUUGGUGCUCCUCGCCGCGGAGGCGCUCGAGCCAGGCCAGAUCUGCGCUGGCUGGAGGUGAGGGCUCAUGGCCGGCGCACGACAGGUGAGGUGGUGAUGCGGAGGGCCUGACGGGGUGUGGCAGAGGAGAUGUGGCUCGAUUUGGUGGGGGCGGCGCCAGCGGGAGGCAGUGCUGGGUUCUCACGGGCAGGUUGGUGGCGCGCUGUGAUGGCUCCGUCAAGAUGGAGCCUUGCGAGCAGCGAGCGGUCGGUCAUCCCUGUGCGGCGUGGCGAGCGGCGGUGCUUUCCUGGUGAUGCCGGCCUGGGAUUUCUCCGUGGAGAGGCGGGUCUGAUUGUCGCAAGGCCGUUCCUUGGAGUGGGUGACGGCCGUCGCGGGCAGUCCUGGACCUGGCCGGAGGUGUUGGUUGGCUGCGGACCCUCGUGCAGGCUGGGAGUGGAUGGUGUGGCCGUGGUUUCCCUGCCGGGUAGUCGGUCGUUGGUCCUCGGCUAUGCAGCUACUUCGGCAAGUGCUGCGGUGGCGGCGGUGUGAGGCUUCUUGGCAGUGCUACCAAUCCCAUGGAGGCGUGGCGAUGUGCGAAGCGCGGAUGAAAAUUUUGCACGGCUUCUGCCGGGCCGGCGGUGAUGGCACCUGUGGAUGUCAUUCCCCUCCUUGGAGGCAUCGUCGAGUUUGUUCGCCCCAUCCCUCGCGCUCUCGGUGUUGGUGGAUGUCUCCGGGUGAAAGCCUAGAUUCGAUGUUCGGAUCGACACGAUGGCGGUGUCCUCGACGCCGCUCCUCUGUUGGGAGCAUUGUGUUUGGAGACAUGACUGGUUCCUCGUUGCUCUCCUCCGGUGUUCGCCGCUAUCCUUUUCUGAUCUUCAGUGGCGCUAUGUACGUUGGUCGACGGUGAAUCCAAGGCGGUGUCUUCCCGGAUUGGAUCGAGUCCUGCCAUUCAUCUGCCACUUUCUCUUAGGCGCUCAGGGUGGAUGGUGCGUCGACAAGAGAAGUUCUGCGGAAGUGUGGUCUUCGGAGGUGUCCGGCGUCGGUCAGAGACGCGGUGCUGUGUAUCAGUUUAGGAUAGGCUUUUUGCUUUGUAGCUUGCCUAGCGGUGGUGUUUGUUUGUGGUCUUGUCGGUGUGGUGUUCGUGCUACACUCGUUGUUCGCAUCGCUUUCUUGUAACUAAAUCCUGCCUUCUAUAAAGCUAUGGUACGCCUAGGCGUACUCUCAAAAAAAAAGAAAGAGAAACAAAUAAAAAAAUGUUCCAUUUCUCUUAAUUAAAAGAUGGUCUCUCAGCACGAUUUUUGUUACCAUAUACUCCUUGUAUUUAAGAAUGUUUUUUUAUUAAAGACAAAACUAGAUGAUAAUCCAUUAUAUCCACGUGAUUUUAAGUUGGUUUUUGCCUAAUAGUGCAUGGCAUGCACAUGCGGACCAUCAUGAAGCCAUGAAGGUGCCCCCUCUGGAUGAACAUGCAUGUCCUUGGGCUGGGCAGCAGCGUGCUACUGAUACUUGUUUAAGCUGAGCGUCAUCUGAGUGUGGCCAUCAGGCAACAAGAGAGAAGACCACCGAGAUCUGCCGAUGCCCGCCGUCGCGCCCGCGCCGGAGGACCAUGUGGCCGCGGACGCCACCAAGCUCGUCGCCCUCCACUUGGAAGACGAUGAGCGGCAAGGGGGCUGCUGCUGCUGCUGCGG